rnacentral:rRNA from 1 species
UUUUUAAAAAUUGAAAGGAAAAGAAUAAAUUAGUUAUAAGUUUUUUAAAUAAAAUAUUAAAAAAAAAUUAAAAUUAUAUCAGAACUGAAAAGGAAAAAUUGAAAAAUUUAAUUAAAGAAAAUUAAAAUAGUUAUUAUUAUGUACCUUUUGCAUAAGGGUUUUUUAAAAAAAAUUAAAAAUUUAUAUUUCCCGAAAUUAUUUUGAUCUAUUUUUAUAAAAGUUUAAUUUGUUAUAAAUAAUUAAAUAAUGUAAAAAUAGAAAUGAAAUUUUUUUCAAAAAUAAUGAUAUCUGGUUAUUAAAAAGAGAUUUUAUAUCUAUCUAUAAUAUAAUUUUUUUUUAUUAUAAAAAAUUAUAGAUAAAUUAAUUAGGGAUAAGCUUAUUUAAUAAAUUAUAAUUAUGUUUUUGUUUUUUAAAAAAGGAAUGAAAUUUUCUUUAUUUUGUUAUAAAAAAUUUAUGAAAAUAAAGAGAAAUUUAAUUAUAUUUAAUAAUUAAUUUAAUUUCAAAUUUAUAAAAAAAUAAAAAAAUUAGUAUAAGUUUAAAUAUAUAUUUUUUUCUUUAAAAUGUAUUGAUGAAUUUUAAUUAUUAAUUAGGAAUUCGGCAAUUUUUUAAAUUGACUGUUUAUCAAAAACAUUUCAUUUUGAAUUAAUAAAAUGUAUUAUCUGCUCAAUGAGAUUAUUAAAUUGCUGUGGUAUUUUGACUAUACGAAGGUAUUGAAAUAAGGCUUUAAAUGAGUGCUAAAAGAAUGAUAGAACAAUUUGAAUCUGUCUUUUUAAUAAAAAUAGAAGUUAACUUUUUAUGUGCAGAGGCAAAAAUAAAAUUAAGGGACAAGAAGACCCUAUGAAUUUUUUUUUUUAUUUAAAAUAAAAUUAUUUUAGAUAAAAAUUAAUUGGGGCGAUUAAAAAAGAACAAACAUCUUUUUGUUAAUUAUUUAAAAGUUUGAUCCAAUAAUAUUGAUUAAAUGAAUAAAAUACUCUAGGGAUAACAGCGUUAUAAUUUUGGAUAGUUCAUAUUGAUAAAAUUAAUUGCGACCUCGAUGUUGGAUUAGGAUACUUAUUUAAUGAAGAAGUUAAAUUAAGGAGUUUGUUCAACUUUUAAAUUCCUACAUGAUCUGAGUUCAGACCGGCGUAAGCCAGGUUGGUUUCUAUCUUUAUUAACAAUUUUUUUUUAAUUAGUACGAAAGGAAUUUUAAAAAAUAAUUAUUUAUG